GGUGCUCUUCCAAUCACAGGACAUCUUAUUCAUGGUCAUCAACCACCAGGGGGCGGAAGCACAGCGUCUGCAAACCUUGCUGUUGAAGAGACUGUCACAGAACAUCAUUCUGUUCCAGCAGGAGGAGCAUCAACCUGAUGUUUGGCAAACACUGAA